UACGUAGGGUGCGAGCGUUAAUCGGAAUUACUGGGCGUAAAGCGUGCGCAGGCGGUGAUGUAAGACAGAUGUGAAAUCCCCGGGCUCAACUUGGGAACUGCAUUUGUGACUGCAUCGCUGGAGUGCGGCAGAGGGGGAUGGAAUUCCGCGUGUAGCAGUGAAAUGCGUAGAUAUGCGGAGGAACACCGAUGGCGAAGGCAGCCCCCUGGGAUAACACUGACGCUCAUGCACGAAAGCGUGGGGAGCAAACAGG
rnacentral:rRNA from 1 species